rnacentral:rRNA from 2 species
GAUUUCUGACGAAACUGCUAGCUGGCCCGUCACGUCAGUGAUGUGUGCCGGCUUGGCGUUUGUCAUCCGUUCGAAUGAUAUGCGCGCUGCCCUUCACUGGGUUGGUGCUGCAUGUUUUCGAUCUUUUACUUUGAAAAAAUUAGAGUGUUUAAAGCAGGCUUUUGCUAUGAAUACAUUAGCAUGGAAUAAUAAUCUAGGACUUCGGUUCUAUUUUGUUGGUUUCUAUAACUGAAGUAAUGAUUGAUAGGGAUAGUUGGGGGUGCUAGUAUUGGCCGGCCAGAGGUGAAAUUCUUGGAUUCGGUCAAGACUAACUUAUGCGAAAGCAUU